CUAUAAAGGGGGCUACUUGCCUCCUCCUCUCCCUCUUAUUUCUCUCUUGCUCUCUCUUGUUCCUCCUCUUCUCGUGCCCCUCUUUGUCCCUGUCCCUUCUUUUCCCAUCUCCCCCUUUCCUCCCACGUGCCCAUGGCCAGCCUUUCCUUCUUCUACUACUCUUCUUCUCUCACUAAACCUUUCCACGUGGAACCAUGUUGGCUUGGUGUACCUUGUCUGGGCGCUGGCUGAGAUUUUAAACACCAACAAUAUGCAGGCUCAGGUCAGCAGGUGUAGAAGUUGUGACUCCAAAAGGAGACACUCAAGAAUCUGAAACAUGUGAUAUCAUCAACAAAGACACCUUCAGCUCAGAGUUCCCAGAAAACACGCCUUGGAAUACGCAAGCCAUCGCAAGUUCGUAUGUUUGUGAUGAACAACUACUGGAAAGGUCCUCCCCUCAAAAAGUUUUGUAAAUCACACAUUCAGCAAGAUCCAACCAAUUUACAAGCUCAACACACACCUUCAACCAUCAGAAGGGCAACUCAGCAUCACCGUGUCACAGUGGACUCCGAGGGACCCUACACCUUAUGAAUGGGCAUUGUCCUCAAGAAGGUGAUGGAAAAUACCAGUGUACUUCAAGUAAUUUCAUACCCAGGAGGCUGCUCUGGCGAGAUGGUUUGGAGCAGUGGAUCCCAGCCUUCCCUAAGGCUGUGACCCUUUAAGGCCUCAUGUUGUGGUGAGCCCUGUAAAAGGAUCAUUCAACUCCCCAGGGUGAGAAUGGCCAAUUCAGAGCCUUUCAUCUUUAACCUCCAGCUCCUUAGAUUGUUCAUGUUUUAAGCCUGAUCAAAAGCAGCCUUUAUGUUUUCCUCCACAUCCCUGGUUAAAUUUUUCUGUUUAAGUCCAAGAGCAAAAAACUCUGCCAUACCUGGAGAGAUCCCCUCCUGGGGUGAUAAACACUUGACUUACGACUUUGUGGGCCAUCCAGAUGCUGAGACAUCAUGCGUCCCAUGGAUGUCGCAUGCACCCACGUCUUCUUCAGAAUGUUAAGCUUCAACCCGAACAACACAAUAAUAAAGACUGUCAGGAGUUCCUCAGUACAGUUAAGACACAUCUUUGGAAAGGAGAAAAAGAAGAACUGCACAGAGAUGUCACUGAUUAAGAAAGAAAAAAAGGUACAGGAAGAACCAGGCGGAGCGACAACAGAAACUGAAGAAGUCACAGGCUUCAGUGGUGGUUUGCACCACCAUAUAUCAUAUGUGAGUCAGGAGAAUGCAGGCAUCUCAUGCCCUAGGAAUUUCCCAUAUUUCUAGGAAAAUACAUCUUCUCCCUCUGCUGGGAACGUGGGGUUCAUCCAGUAGGAAGUGUAAAAGGAGCUCACUGUAAAGCAUAUGGUACAAAGCUACAGGUGGAGAUGAAGAGAUGGCUCAGUGGUCAGAGCGAGUUCAGUCUCCAGCACCUGCUUGGGGCUCACAACUGUCCACUACUCCAGCCCAGAAGAUCCAAUACCCUCCUCUGGCUCCAGCAGGUACUCAGUGCACUCAUAUGGUGCACAUAUAUGCGUUCAGACAUAACACAUAAAAUAAAUUUUAUUUAAAGAAAAAUGCCACAGGCAUGACUGUUGGUGGAUAGUGCCUGUUUGGGUCAUGAAAAGUGAAGUUUCUGUAGGCUUCAGGUUGAGAUCUAGUCUUCUUCUGUGCAAAGUUUCAGGACUGGUUCUUGCUCGGAGUAUUGGAGCUCUCAGGAUGCUUGUGACUUCAGUGACAAUGCCAAUGGAAACUCUAGAGAUGGGCCACGCCCCAGCUAGGGAGAAGGAUCCGCUAAGGAGAAUCUCAAACUGCAAGCAGGGCUGAACCGCACCCCAUACUCUCAUCCCAGGAGUUAGAGGACAUUGAGCUAAGUUCAGGACUAGGAAUUCGUGGUGGGAAUGGGGAGGUAGCAAUCCACAGUGCGGUGAAACACUGAGUCUGCUCCAGAUCUGACUGAUGAUGAUGGAUCCUAUCUAGGUGCUGCUUAAAUGCUUUUCUUUGUUCCACAGUCGAGUCUGGAAACUGUACAGAUGACCAAGGGUCCAGGCAGACAGAGGAUCAAGUCCAGUACCCUGCUGUCUCCCUUAGAGAGGACCCCCUAAAGCCCCGUGGGCUCAGGAAGGGCACACAGGCCCAGGAGAUGAAUCAGUAGGUAAAGUGCUUGUUGCACAAGCAUUUGCCUCUGACUGCAGAUCUCCAGCACCUACAUAGAGGACUGGGACGGCACAGCGUACAACUGGAUCCCAGCCCAGGGCGGGGAUGAGGAGCAGUAGGGUGGUCUGAACAUUUGCCAUCCCGCAGGAUUUGUCUAUCCCCGAGCUCCACGUCCAGCAAGAGACUCUGUCUCAAAUAAAUAAAAUGUGAAGUCUUUGUCUUGCUCACACACAAAACAGGCACACACACACACACACACACACACACACACACACACACAGGUGCACACACAUGCAUACGCCACACAAGAAAAAAAGAAAGCAGAGAUUAGGCAGGAGGGCUUUUCACACCUGCACUUGCAGCACUUGGAAGGUAGGACCUGGGGCUGAGGGAUGUAGGGUCACCCUCAGCCCCACACAUGGUCUGAGUUCAUCGUAGGCUAUGUGAGACCCUGUCUUGAAAACAUCCCACAAAAACAAACAGAAAGCCACUGCUGGUUAGAAAACCAAGAACCCAUGGCCACGAAUGAUAGCACACGAGACUGAAAAGUAAGUGUAAUAACAGUAAAAAGAAAUUGUGGAAAAAUAGAAAAAGCAACUAUUAUAUAAAUCUUAAAGGAGGGAAGCUGGAGGUGGGGGAAGAAGGUAAACAAGAAAGAAAAAUUUUCAGAACAGCUUUGAGUAAUAGAACAAUAGAGCAACUGCUUAAGUCUGACAAAAUGAACCAAACGGUUAACAUAGCAAACACAGUACAGCAUAGGGGGCUGGCUAGUGUUUGCCUAGCUCUGGCCUCGGUACACACCCACACACAUACAAACUUGCUCAGACAAACUCACGUAUGCACCCACACAAGCGUGUAUAUACACCACAUUCCGAAAAGUAAAAGAGAAAGUAGAAAUCUCAAUAAAAGCUUAUGUUGACUCCGUGUUGGAAUAUUAAAUGGAUUUAAAUUGGAUAAACUAAUUUGACAUACUUCCAGAGAUUAUUUUUAUGUGACUCCAUGAAGUUUUUGAUUGCAUACAGAGCUCGAAUAUUUCAGUUAGACAAUGAUCUAUGUAGCUCCUUAAGGAAAGCUGAAGCACC
ensembl:lncRNA